CCACGUACCGUACGAACGUUAUUCGGAAUUAUUGGGCUUAAAGGGUGCGUAGGCGGCGUCGUAAGUCGGGUGUGAAAUCCCUCAGCUCAACUGAGGAACUGCGCCCGAAACUGCGACGCUUGAGGGAGACAGGGGUGAGCGGAACUGAUGGUGGAGCGGUGAAAUGCGUUGAUAUCAUCAGGAACACCGGUGGCGAAAGCGGCUCACUGGGUCUCUUCUGACGCUGAGGCACGAAAGCUAGGGUAGCGAACGGGAUUAGAAACCCUAGUAGUCC
rnacentral:rRNA from 1 species